UGGUCCUACGGGAGGCAGCAGUAGGGAAUCUUCCACAAUGGGCGAAAGCCUGAUGGAGCAACGCCGCGUGGGUGAAGAAGGUCUUCGGAUCGUAAAACCCUGUUGUUAGAGAAGAAAGUGCGUGAGAGUAACUGUUCACGUUUCGACGGUAUCUAACCAGAAAGCCACGGCUAACUACGUGCCAGCAGCCGCGGUAAUACGUAGGGAGCGAGCGUUAUCCGGAUUUAUUGGGUGUAAAGGGUGCGUAGGCGGCUUCUUAAGUCUGUAGUCUAAGCCCGGAGCUUAACUCCGGUUCGCUACAGAAA
rnacentral:rRNA from 1 species